rnacentral:rRNA from 1 species
GUAGGUGGCAAGCGUUGUCCGGAACUAUUGGGCGUAAAGCGCGCGUAGGCGGUUCGUUUAAGUCUGAUGUGAAAGCCCACGGGCUCAACCGUGGAGGGUCAUUGGAAACUGGAGAACUUGAGUACAGAAGAGGAAAGCGGAAUUCCACGUGUAGCGGUGAAAUGCGUAGAGAUGUGGAGGAACACCAGUGGCGAAGGCGGCUUUCUGGUCUGUAACUGACGCUGAGGCGCGAAAGCGUGGGGAGCAAACAGGAUUAGAUACCCUGGUAGUCCACGCCGUAAACGAUGAGUGCUAAGUGUUAGGGGGUUUCCGCCCCUUAGUGCUGCAGCUAACGCAUUAAGCACUCCGCCUGGGGAGUACGGCCGCAAAGGCUG